rnacentral:tRNA from 14 species
GGUGCCGGCGGGGGGCUCGACCACCACGUCGUAGAGCCCGACGUCGAGCGGCAGCGCGAAGAGGCCGUUCGGAUCGGCCACGGCGUCGC